UAUCUUGCGCGCAAGCCAAUGGGUAAAUGGUGCGGUACGCCGCCCAUGACUGGAAACCCACAGGCACAGACAAAUCGAGUGUUGCGGGAUUACGGGUACGGCCGAUGGCGCAAGCCUUCGUCGGACCCCUCCAUCCCAGGGUGUCCCGUUCGGGUGCUUGCACCCAGCGGACAUCCCCGGAGUGCGUAGGAUGUGACCCGAAAGAUGGUGAACUAUGCCUGAUCAGGUUGAAGUCAGGGGAAACCCUGAUGGAGGACCGAAGCAAUUCUGACGUGCAAAUCGAUUGUCAGAGUUGGGCAUAGGGGCGAAAGACCAAUCGAACCAU
rnacentral:rRNA from 1 species